GACGAACGCUGGCGGCGUGCCUAAUACAUGCAAGUCGAACGAAGCUGUUUUAACUGGUGCUUGCACCGACUUAAACAACUGAGUGGCGAACGGGUGAGUAACACGUGGGUAACCUGCCCCAAAGCGGGGGAUAACAUUUGGAAACAGAUGCUAAUACCGCAUAACCACAGAAACCACAUGGUUUCUGUGUCAAAGAUGGUUUCGGCUAUCUCCUUGGGAUGGACCCGCGGCGUAUUAGCUAGUUGGUAAGGUAAUGGCUUACCAAGGCAAUGAUACGUAGCCGAACUGAGAGGUUGAUCGGCCACAUUGGGACUGAGACACGGCCCAAACUCCUACGGGAGGCAGCAGUAGGGAAUCUUCCACAAUGGACGAAAGUCUGAUGGAGCAACGCCGCGUGAGUGAAGAAGGUUUUCGGAUCGUAAAACUCUGUUGUCAGAGAAGAACGUGUGCGAGAGUAACUGUUCGUGCAGUGACGGUAUCUGGCCAGAAAGCCACGGCUAACUACGUGCCAGCAGCCGCGGUAA
rnacentral:rRNA from 1 species